UUGACCUCGGAUCAGGUAGGAAUACCCGCUGAACUUAAGCAUAUCAAUAAGCGGAGGAAAAGAAACCAACAGGGAUUGCCCUAGUAACGGCGAGUGAAGCGGCAACAGCUCAAAUUUGAAAUCUGGCUCUCGGGCCCGAGUUGUAAUUUGUAGAGGAUGCUUUUGGCAAGGUGCCUUCCGAGUUCCCUGGAACGGGACGCCAUAGAGGGUGAGAGCCCCGUCUGGUUGGACACCGAGCCUCUGUAAAGCUCCUUCGACGAGUCGAGUAGUUUGGGAAUGCUGCUCUAAAUGGGAGGUAUAUGUCUUCUAAAGCUAAAUACUGGCCAGAGACCGAUAGCGCACAAGUAGAGUGAUCGAAAGAUGAAAAGCACUUUGAAAAGAGAGUUAAAAAGCACGUGAAAUUGUUGAAAGGGAAGCGCUCAUGACCAGACUUGGGCUUGGUUGAUCAUCCGGCGUUCUCGCCGGUGCACUCUUCCAGUUCAGGCCAGCAUCAGUUUGCCCCGGGGGAUAAAAGCAGCGGGAAUGUGGCUCCUUCGGGAGUGUUAUAGCCCGUUGCAUAAUACCCUGAGGCAGACUGAGGACCGCGCUUCGUGCAAGGAUGCUGGCGUAAUGGUCAUCAGCGACCCG
rnacentral:rRNA from 1 species